UACGUAGGGUGCGAGCGUUGUCCGGAAUUAUUGGGCGUAAAGCGCGUGUAGGCGGCCAGGUAGGUCCGCUGUGAAAACCCGAGGCUCAACCCUCGGGACGUCGGCGGAAACCAUCUGGCUAGAGUCCGGAAGAGGAGAGUGGAAUUCCCGGUGUAGCGGUGAAAUGCGCAGAUAUCGGGAAGAACACCCGUGGCGAAGGCGGCCCUCUGGGACGGUACUGACGCUGAGACGCGAAAGCGUGGGGAGCGAACAGG
rnacentral:rRNA from 1 species